AUUGAACGCUGGCGGUAUGCUUAACACAUGCAAGUCGAACGGUAGCAGCAUCUAGCUUGCUAGAUGGCUGACGAGUGGCGGACGGGUGAGUAACGCGUAGGAAUCUGUCUAGGAGUCUGGGGCAACAUGGGGAAACUCAUGCUAAUACCAGAUACGCUCUUCGGAGGAAAGGCGGGUCGUAAGACCUGUCACUCUUAGGUGAGCCUGCGUUGGAUUAGCUUGUUGGUGGGGUAAAGGCCUACCAAGGCUACGAUCCAUAGCUGUUCUGAGAGGAAGAUCAGCCACAUUGGGACUGAGACACGGCCCAA
rnacentral:rRNA from 1 species